rnacentral:rRNA from 1 species
GACGAACGCUGGCGGCGUGCUUAACACAUGCAAGUCGAACGGAAAGGCCCUGCUUGCAGGGUACUCGAGUGGCGAACGGGUGAGUAACUCGUGGGUGAUCUGCCCUGCACUUCGGGAUAAGCCUGGGAAACUGGGUCUAAUACCGGCUAGGAGCCAUUUUUAGUGUGAUGGUUGGAAAGUUUGUUCGGUGUAGGAUGAGCUCGCGGCCUAUCAGCUUGUUGGUGGGGUAAUGGCCUACCAAGGCGGCGACGGGUAGCCGGCCUGAGAGUGUGGACGGCCACAUUGGGACUGAGAGACGGCGCAGACUCCUACGGGAGGCAGCAGUGGAGAAUAUUGCACAAUGGGCGCAAGCCUGAUGCAGCGACGCCGCGUGGGGGAUGACGGCCUUCGAGUUGUAAACUCCUUUCGCUAGGGACGAAUCUUUUUGUGACGGUACCUAGAUAAGAAGCACCGGCUAACUACGUG